rfam:Heligmosomoides polygyrus genome assembly, scaffold: HPBE_scaffold0000045
GCGCCGGUGGUGUAAUGGCGUAGAGCAUUCCCGCCCGGUUAGAGGGAGGUGCGGGUUCGAGUCCCGCCUGGCACU